AGAAGCGACCGGGAGCGUGUGUGGUGCGCGCCUGCCUUGAGGCCAGGCCUCAGAGAAGGGUGUCCCAGAUGUAGGCAAAGCGUCCUCCAUGUGUUCCUGGAGGACCGUCCCAAGUCCUUCUCCAUUCUCCCAACCUCUUGGGCCUGGGAUGUCCUCCACCUUUUCAAUCUGAUUUGCUCUUUGCCAUGCAGACCUGUGGAUGAAGAGCCAGAGUCCUCCAAGGUGAAGCUGGACUGAAUAUUUCUGUCCAUAAGACUAUUAGAAUCCCCCAAAGUGGGAUACCAGUGAGGACCUCACCAGCAGCUGCUGUCUCUCCAAUGCAGAGCUUCCUGCCUCCUGCCCAGCCCCUGCUGUCAGAGAUACUUGGUGCUUCCAGUUCUGGAGACUUCCUUGAGUUCUGUGACUCAAAACAACUUCCUUCCCCUGUGGGCAUCAACAAUGAGAGAUCUUCAGAUGCGAUCAGGCACUCCAGUCCUUCCAUCUCCCACAAUGUUGGAGACCUGUGUUCCCUGCUGUAGAAACCUCUGCCAUUCCCUUUAUCUCUGAAGACAGAUGGACUUGACUGUCAGCUUAGCUUGGUUUCAGGAGGAAAGGAAGAUAAACCCCUGUGUUUAAGCUGCCGUGUUAAAUGGGAGGCACCUGGUCUUUUUUCUUUUUCUUUUUUAAAGACUGGGUCUCGCUCUGUUAUCCAAGCUGCAGUGCAGUGAUGUGAUCAUAGCUCACCUCAGCCUUGAACUCUCAGGCUCAAGCGAUCCUCCAGCCUCAGCCUCCUGAAUUGCUGGGAUUAUAGCACCUGGCCAAUUUUAAAAUCUUUCUGUAGCGACAGGAUCUCACUAUGUUGCCCAGGCUGGUCUUGAACCCCUGGCCUCAAGGAAUUCUCCCACAACCUCCCAAAGUGCUAAGAUUACAGGCAAGAGCCAUGGUGCCCAGCCACCUCUGGUCUUCCCUCAGUUUGCUUUCAUUAAAGGACAAAC
rnacentral:lncRNA from 1 species